rnacentral:rRNA from 1 species
UGCAAGUCGAACGGUAACAGGGUUAGCUUGCUAAUCGCUGACGAGUGGCGGACGGGUGAGUAAUGCUUGGGAACUUGCCUUUGCGAGGGGGAUAACAGUUGGAAACGACUGCUAAUACCGCAUAAUGUCUACGGACCAAACGGGGCUUAGGCUCCGGCGCAAAGAGAGGCCCAAGUGAGAUUAGCUAGUUGGUAAGGUAAAGGCUUACCAAGGCAACGAUCUCUAGCUGUUCUGAGAGGAAGAUCAGCCACACUGGAACUGAGACACGGUCCAGACUCCUACGGGAGGCAGCAGUGGGGAAUAUUGCACAAUGGGGGAAACCCAGAUGCAGCCAUGCCGCGUGUGUGAAGAAGGCCUUCGGGUUGUAAAGCACUUUCAGUUGUGAGGAAAAGUUAGUAGUUAAUACCUGCUAGCCGUGACGUUAACAACAGAAGAAGCACCGGCUAACUCCGUGCCAGCAGCCGCGGUAAUACGGAGGGUGCGAGCGUUAAUCGGAAUUACUGGGCGUAAAGCGCACGCAGGCGGUUUGUUAAGCUAGAUGUGAAAGCCCCGGGCUCAACCUGGGAUGGUCAUUUAGAACUGGCAGACUAGAGUCUUGGAGAGGGGAGUGGAAUUCCAGGUGUAGCGGUGAAAUGCGUAGAUAUCUGGAG